CAUUUAAAUUAAUUGUUUAUUCCAUUUGUACCGCUUACCUAAGUAUUAUCUUUAUUUGUUAACUUAUUCCAAAUGAACACGCAAAUAUACGCUUUUUAUUCCCCAAACGGCGCAUUAGUUGUUUGUCGAAAGUGCCAGCUAGCAUCUAACCCCUUCUUAUUUAUUUAGCACUGGCAGCUAACAUGAGGACACUUUUGUGGAAGUUUUCCAACAAUGUGAUUUAUUCUUUUCUUUAAUAGCAGCGCCACUGGACGUAACUCUUCAACUGCUGUGCUGGGACUCUCAAUAAACGAGCUGGUUAGUGCCACCUCAACACAGGAUGGUGCCAAAGAGCUGUGGAAAAAACAAGUUGGGACUGUCAAGGGAUUUCCAGACAAGAGGGUGCACAGGAGUGUGUCGCCAUCCACGGACCACGGGGCGUGUCCAACAGGUGCAAAGUGGACACAAGCUCAGCUGUCCCGGCGAUGAAAUGGGGAAAUUCCCGCCACCUCCACUCGAAUCAACCAACAAUGAGCGGUACCACUGUCGAAUGGGUUCUACAAAUUACCCAGCUCAUGAUUUCUGGAGAUAGAAUUUAGUCGUGAUAAAUAGAGGACUGACCUGCGGUAUGAUGGACAUCCUCUGGCGAAGAGUAUGCAGGCCAACAUCAGACGUCUGGAAACCAUCAAUCACUAUCCUGCCCUCGGGUUCAGCCAGGCGGAACAAGGCCGAUAUCAGAGAGCUCUUACCAGCGCCGGUUCGUCCCACAAUGCCCACCUACAGGGGGACAAAUGGAGAACUAAGUCAUACGCUACAAUAAAUCCUGCGGAAAAAAGACAAAUUGCUGCCAUGCUGCCUUUUUGACUAUUCAUCACUUGGCUUUUUGUGGAAGUGUCAUGUCUCUGAGGGGCCAUGUCAUCGGACAACUGGUGUGAAAGAACAGCAAAGGAAUGAGACUGACUGGAAAGAGUUCAUAUUUUAACUUCCGACAGUUAUGCGUUAGUUUUGAAUUCGUAUGUCGUCUCAUAAACUUAUGUUUCAGCUGGGCUUCCACCGAACUACAAAUGCUCACAGAACACCAACGUCUUAUAAACUUAUGUCUUAGCUGGGCUUCCACCGAACUACAAAUAUUCACAGAACACCAAAACCAGUCCAAUAAUUAUAACUACAAAAUUCUGAAAAUGAUGCCAGUAACACUUCACGGUAUGCAUUUUAACAAUUUAGUGUCUGAUCAGAUCAGAAAAUUAUUGGUAUACAUUGUAAAAUAUAUGCUUCAAUGUGUAUUAAAGUA